AUAUAAAAACCCACUAGGGUGUUGGACAUCUCAUCAACACUUUCAUCAGCACUAUAACUGUUUGCUUGCCUGCCUGCCUGCCUACCUGCCAGCUUACCUGCUUAAGUAAGUAAAUAUGAAGGCCAGAGCCGUCCUUGCCGUCGUAGUUGUUAUGCUAGUUGUUUUGCAAUGCUGCAGUCACACUGAAGGAUUUGGAGUCAGCGGCGGACCCCCUGGUCGUGGUCUUGUAGGCGUAAUCGUUAACCCAGACGAACUGGAUGAUAUCUGUGACAUUUUCACUCCCGGAAAUAGAAAUGGAAAUGGAAAUGGAAAUGGAAACGGGAAAUAAUAUGUAUUUUCCUUUUGUAAAAUAAACUCGUUUUCUUAUAAAUGAAACUGUACAUUCUAGAUUGACAAUAGAGAAGAAAAUUAAUAAAUUAUAGCAGAAAAGUUGAACGUAUAAA